rnacentral:lncRNA from 1 species
CAACUUUCCUCCAUUGUUGCUUACUUGCUUUUCAUUUCAUGCAUGCAUGUAUGUUUAAUUUGAUUACCUCCUUCUUAUUAUUAUCACUCCAUUAUUAACUCCUUUUCCACUUUGUAUAUAUAAAUUAGAGCCUUUUGUAAGGUUUCUGAUCUUUCAAUUAAAAUUUAGGGUAACAAAAAAAUUAAAAGAAUUAAUAUUAGGUACAUGGAUGAAGAGAUAAGAGGAAGUGAUGGUUGUUCAACACCGGAGCGGUGGGAAUGCCGGAUACCGGCGGCGUUAGUGCCACCGCCACCACCGAAAAAGAAGCCGUUUUCAUUUGGUAAGAAGAAGAAGAAACAAUGGCGGCCAUCAACAAAGAAUAAUAGGUAUUUUCAGCCUUGUGACUUGGAGGAGCUAUUCUCUCUAUUGCCACGCCCUCAAAAAACGUGUGUUUGUGAUCAUUAAUUAAUUAGUUUAAUUUCUUCAUAAUUAAAAUAAAAAAAUGUUCGUUACAAUUUGCAUUUGUCUUGGAAACUAAUAAGAUCAGAGUGUUCUCAAAUGCAUGGGAAUAAUGUAUGUUUCUUUUUUUUCUUAUUUAUUUUUUAACCUCUACUAGUAAAUUCUCUUAAUUGCUACUUUAUGAAUACUUCAAAUAGAGCUGGCAAUAGAUAAAGUAUUCUAAUUAACCUUACUCAGAGUUAAAAAAAUUUUGUAAAAUUUUAUCCUACCUUAUUUGAAAAUUUUUUAAUUUUAACUUUAUUCAUAUUUUAAAAUUUCAAAUUUUACCUGAUUAUAGUUCUUAUGAUUUUAUUAAUUUUUUUAUUUUUUAUGUUUCUUAGGGGAAAAAAAAGGCGAAGAGCGAG